UUUUUUUUUUUUUUCCUUUACGAUAAACAUUAUUAUCCUAGUCAUGCACCAAUAUUGCUUUUGGUAGAGCCAUCGACGCACUUACUCCUAAAGUAUCUGAGCCAUAAAUGGUUCAUUGUCCUUGUACACGAUGAGAAAUCAAAGUAAGCUCCCCCUUUACGGGCUCAAGCAAGUAGGAAGUAUGGUCUUUAAUGCUCAAGGAAUAAUGACGGGCAAAUCUUCCUCCAAAUUCCAAUUCAAAAUAGUCCCAAUUGGGACUGACGCUUGGUGGGGGAGAAAUAGAGUAUCCUUUGAGUGAGUGCUAUUGAUGUCAUUACUAAUUCACUCAUUUCAUUCUGGACCCGCAGAUGACAGCAAGGUUUCUUGAUAUUCAUUGAGCACCCACUAUACACUCAGCAUUGUACUAUAUACUGGGGAUUCCAAGAUAACAUAGACAAUAUUCUUCCCCUAAAAGCAUUUGUCUGCCUGUUUUUGUUUUUGUGCCACAUGGAAAUUCCCAGGCCAGGGAUCCAAUCGGAGCCACAGUUGCCACCUACAAUAUACCUUUAGCAAUGUCAGAUCCUCAACCCAUUGUGCCAUAGCAAGAACUCCCUGUCUGCCUGUUUCUUCCUUUUUUUUUUUUUUUAAACAGACGCACCUGCAGCAUAUGGAAGUGCCUGCCUGGGCCAGGGGUCAAAUCCGAGCUGCAGCUGCUUCCUAGACCACAGCCAUGGAAACGCUGGAUCUGAGCUGCAUCUGUGACAUACACAGCAGCUUAGGGCAACACCAGAGCCUUAAUCUACUGAGCAAGUCAAGAGAUUGAACCCGCAUCCUCACAGAAACAACAUCAGGUCCUUAACUUAUUGAGUCGAAACAGGAACUCCCUUGUCUGCCUGUUUCUCUCUCUCUCUUUUUUUUUUUUUUGCUUUUUUAGGGCCGAACCCACAGCAAAUGAAAGUUCCCAGAGGAGUUCCCGUCGUGGCGCAGUGGUUAACGAAUCCGACUAGGAACCAUGAGGUUGCGGGUUCGGUCCCUGCCCUUGCUCAGUGGGUUAACGAUCCGGCGUUGCCGUGAGCUGUGGUGUAGGUUGCAGACGCGGCUCGGAUCCCGCGUUGCUGUGGCUCUGGUGUAGGCCGGCGGCUACAGCUCCAAUUAGACCCCUAGCCUGGGAACCUCCAUAUGCCGCGGGAGCGGCCCUAGAAAUGGCAAAAAGACAAAAAAAAAAGAAAGUUCCCAGCCUCGGAAUCAAAUCAGAGCCACAACUGCCAGCCACAGCCACAGCAAAACCAGACCCGAGCCACAUCUUCAACCUACACCACAGCUCAUGACAAUGCAGGAUCCUUAACCCACUGAAUGAGGCCAGGGAUUGAACCCACAACCUCAUGGAUAUUAGUCAGAAUCAUUUCCACUGCACCACAAAGGGAACUCCUGACAGUUUCUUUAUUCUCCCACUCCCAAAACACACACACAUCUUUCUAUUGAUGACAAAAGCACUCCUCAGUCCCAGAGGCUGGCAUGAAUUUACAUCACACCAAUAUCUUUAGAAUCAUCACCUGCAAAGAGAAGCCUGCUUGUUUGUCUUGUCACAGUAGGAAGAUGACUGCCCCUGCAUGAGAUUUCUCACUCCCCUUUAUCUGGGCCUCUGUAACAGCAUGGACCUCCCUGCUUCCACCGUCAGAAUCCCUCAAGGGCAAGAGUCAAAUCUCAAGCAUCUUUGUACCCCAGUACUCUAUGUACUCUGGUGCCUAGUACAUAGUAGAUGCUCAAUACAUGUUUAUUAAUGAAUGGAAUGGUGAUUGGACAAGUUGAUGAAUGAAAAAUGAAUACAUGGUUUGAUGGGUGAGUGAGGGUUAUCGAUAGGUAGAUGAGGGGAUAGAUAGAUGUUUGGGUGGAUGGAUGGAGAGAUGGAUGAAUAGAUAAUUGACUGGGCAGAUGAUGGAUGGUUGGAUGCUAGGUAGAUAGAUGAGCAGUUGGUGAUGAAUAAGUGGAUAAAUAAUUUAUCUUCCUUGCAGCCUUAGGACAAUAAUACCUACUCUCAUUAUCUCCUAAGUAAAGGCCAUGCUGAGAAAUAAUAAUAGUUGCAUAACGUAGCGGGGGGGAAAAAAAACUUGGGGUCAACAGGUCCGGGUUCUACUCCUAAUUUCACCACAUAGUAGCUGUCUUGACUUGAACACAUCCCUAACUCCUCUGGGCCACCUUCUGUUCAGUCUAAAGUGACAGUGAUUCCCACCACACGAAUCUAGUGGUUGUUAUACAAGAUAAAAUACGAUAUAAAUAACAGUGCUUUGUCCCAGCAAGUGAUGCUGGUUAAAAUGAUGGGCGCUAUAAGCAGCUCUCACCUGGCCGUUGUCCAUAGGUGGGAAUAUAACAUGUCUCUCCAUUAAGCUUUGCAAUCCUGAACCCUAAUCCUCUGCACUCAGAUUCCCCAGUUCCCUAGACUAGGGGUGGCCCACUUGCUCAUCUCCCUCCAGCCACAUCCUAUAGCACCUGUGCCCACGGGCAAUAUGCAGGCAAAGUCCCCGGGACCUGAGCCCACUGUUGUAGGCAAAGCAGGGAGAUGCCUGGGGAAGGCCACCUAGAAGUGCCCUGGGUGAAAGCACACCUUCCCAAGUGCUCCUGUAUUUCUUAGAAAGGUGAUGGCUACAUCCACAAGGCCAAAACCAUUCGUUCAAGCGUCACUUAUUCACUGCGUCCUGUGUGUCAGGCACUGGGAAACAAAGCUGAAUAAAUGCUGGCCCCUGCCAUACAUGAACCCCACUGGUCUGUGCCCUCAGUCGAUCCCUCAAGGGCCUUGUCUGGUCCUGGAGUUCAAGUUCAACCUUGACCACACAGGACCUGGCAGAGUCCAACACACAGGAGGUGUUCGUGUCACUUCUGCUGCACGAAAGGAGUUCCGUCUAAUGGGGGAGGGAGGCCAGGCCACAACAAUUUCACUGGCCACCUACAGAGAGAACUAGAAAAACAAAGGAAGGGCAUCAAUUCAAAACGGGCAAGGUUGGCUCCCCAGAGGAGGUGCCACCUAAGCUGAGUUUGGAGACAGAGAGGAAACAUCAAGGAGGAGGUGGGAGGAGACAGCGUUUGGCAGAAACAAGCUUUUCUCUGCCUAAUUUCCACCUGCCGCCCUUUGCACAGCUGAUGGGUUUUGUUUUGUUUUGUUCCUUUUUAGGGAUGCACCUGCGGCAUAUGGAAGGUCCAGGCUAGGGGUCAAAUCAGAGCUGUGGCUGCCAGCCUACACCACAGCCACAGCAACACCGGAUCCUUAGCCCACAGAGUGAGGCCAGGGAUCAAACCCAUGUCCUCUUGGAUACUUGUUGGGUUCUUAACCCACCGAGCCGCAGCAGGAACCCGCACUGACAGGGUUUUUCCUCUCCCAGCGGAAAACAACCUUCAGGGGUCCCACAGAAAGGCCAGUGUGAGCCGUCUGUUCCCUUCACGAGAGCCACCUGUCUGGAGGGCCGGCGGGAACGCACCGUGGCCAUUCCUGCCUGGCUUGAUGAAAAAAGAGAGGGGGUCUCCAAUUCUGACAAAGGGCAGUGACAGGAGGUGAAGAGAGGGUGGAGUAGGUCCUGGGAGGAACCACUUCCAUUCCCGGAAUUUUCUGCAGCUGAGAGCUGGGGCCAGAGUCCAUGGGGCCCAGAGGCAGCCUCUCCUCUGGCUCAGGUUAACUCUGAACAAAGGCACAGAGAGCGCUCACCCUGGAACCUUACGUGCCUCGGAUUUCAGAACAGGUGACGCGCCCACUCUUGGCACUUGGAGCUUAUAAAUCCGCCUGGAGCAGGGCCCAGGGCCAGCUGUGUCUCGCCCAGGGCAGAGAGUGUGCCCAGUUAAUCCAAACCCCUCACUUGGCAGGACAUGACCAGCCUUACUUAGCCGCCAGCCCCCUAGCCUCCUGGUCCUCAGCCUUAGCCUACGACAGCCUCCGGCUCCCCAGUCCUCAUUUCGCUUGCCUUCUGACCUUUGCACACCCUGUCCCCUCUACCCGAGACCCUGUCCUUAGCCCUGUUCCUUUAGCUGGUUAACCCCUGCUCCUCUUUCAGGCCUCAGCUUAGCAACCCCUGCUUCUAGAUGUUUCCUGUGAUUCCACCCCCAGAUCCAGGGGAACUGCCUCUACUCACCUCUUCUUUGCACCUCUGAGUCUGGAUUGGGAUCGCUGGACGGUGUGCUGGUCUCCCAUUAGGGCUCCUUCAAGGCAGAGACCAAGUCUCUUCCACCUUCGUAUCCCCAGCAGAGCAAGGCGCCAAGCCACUGCAGGAUUGACUCCCUUCAAGAGGAUGAGAAAGUCAAGGUUGCUCCUCAGCCGAAAGCUCCUUUGGGACCUGAGCAUGCUCCCUCUGCAUGAAAAACCACUCCCUUCUUUCUGUUUGCAAAGGGCUUUCACGUGCACUUUAUCACACGCCUUUCCCACCACCCUGGGAGCAGGUAUUAGUCAGUCUACCCAUUUUACAGAUGGGGCACCUGACGCCCAGAGCCGCUACAGCAGUUGCCAGAGAGGCAGGCUGGGCGGCGGCCGCAAGAGGACCGGCCUCCAGAUCCGCCUGACUCCAGCUCAGCACCACCCGUCAACUCCUUCAACUCUCCCAUCACGUGUCCUGGGUUCUGGCAUCGCCGGCUGGAGCCCCCCAGCCCAAGAUCCGGAUGACGUUGCUGCUCGGGCCCCUCCAGUGACACGUUAUCUAUAUUCCAUGGGGGACCUUUAGGGUCCUGACUCUUUGGGUGCCCGUGGUUACAGGUCUGUGUCCAUCAGAAACACAGGGCUAGGGUGCCUACAGGGAACUCAUAAGAAGUGUUUGGAGGGUGAAGGCAAAAUGAAGAAAAGAGGGUCUUACCCAGAGCCUCUGGGCCCGGGCGCCGCAGCGCUGCUGGCAGAGGAUAAACACCAUCUACCUUCUGAUCUCACACAGGUGCCUUUCAUUGCAAAACUGAACAGGAACCCAGUUGCAAGAGAGUCUGGAAAACAGAGUUCUUCAGACGUGGUAGCACAGGAAAAAGUAUCAAAAGGCAAGUAUAGAGCCGAACACCAAGAGACAGUAUCCAUACACCAUUAGGGCCACUAGAGAAGAAGGUGACGUCCCCAAAAGGCCUUGGUUUGGACCAUGAGCACAGUGGACCCUUGCUUGCUUUGUGGCCGUUCCGCUCCUGUUGGCAGUCUUCUUACAUUUGCGGAGUCCCUGGCUUCUACCUCAACACAGAAGUUAGCAUCUCACUUUGCCAUCCUCCCUUGCAGCUGGAAUAAGCACCCGCUCCACAAAUCAAGCACAGCCAGGGGGAGCUCUCAGAAUAGAAGUAAAAGAAGGGUGAGGAGGGAAACACCCAGCAACAUCCAUGAUCCCCAGAGGCAGCAGUGGCUACAAAGUUGCGUUUGUUGAAGAGGCAAUGGUGGUGGGGCAUCGGCCCCCCUGCAGCCAGAGGGAGUUGCUGGUGCAGGAGGGGUCAUGUUACAUCUCGUGCUCAGAGGGAGCAGUUUCCUCAUCACCUCAAUUCUGCAGUUGCCAACCUCAUUGCCAGGAGCUCAGCUGCAAGUCUGAUUCUCCAGGCUUCCCAGGGAUUCUUACAGUUACCCAAUAAUCUUUUUUUAAACAAACAUUGACGCUAAGGUAUAAUGUCCUAACAACAAGUAUACAAAUCAUGAGUAUACAGUUCAAGCCACU
ensembl:lncRNA